rnacentral:lncRNA from 1 species
AUAAUAAAAAUUUAUAAAGUAAAUAUGCUUUGGAAGAACUAAGUUUGACCACAAUAAAUGAAACAAAAGAAAAGAAAAAGUGCUUCAACAAAUAUUAGGAAAAGAAAAGGAAAAACAAAAAGUUUGAGAAAAGAAACAGUUCACUCAGAAACGACAAAAUAGAAAACAACGUAACGGGGUGGCCAUAUGCUUGAUACCGCAUUGGACGUUAUUCAAUAAUUAAGUUUCCUGCAAUACGACGUCGCGUGUUCACACUCCCACCACGUGUUUAUUGCGUGACACAUCACCCCACAGUUUUAAUGAAGAAACAAGUACCAUGUUCCACUCCAACAACAAAAAAUAAAACAAUAAAUAAAACAGU